rnacentral:rRNA from 1 species
CCGCGCCCCGGGCGGGGCGGGGGCACGGGGGUUGGAGGGCAAGUCUGGUGCCAGCAGCCGCGGUAAUUCCAGCUCCAAUAGCGUAUAUUAAAGUUGCUGCAGUUAAAAAGCUCGUAGUUGAAUUUCGGGACCAAUAUGUCGGUCGUGCCUCGGUACGUACUGGCAUCGUUGGUUUCUCCCUUCUGACGAACCAUGAUGUCAUUCAUUUGGUGUCGUGGGGAAUCAGGACUGUUACUUUGAAAAAAUUAGAGUGUUUAAAGCAGGCUCACGCUUGAAUACAUUAGCAUGGAAUAAUGAAAUAGGACGUUUGAUUCUAUUUUGUUGGUUUCUAGGAUCGACGUAAUGAUUAAUAGGGAUAGUUGGGGGCAUUAGUAUUCAAUUGUCAGAGGUGAAAUUCUUGGAUUUAUUGAAGACUAACUACUGCGAAAGCAUUUGCCAAGGAUGUUUUCAUUAAUCAAGAACGAAAGUUAGGGGAUCGAAGACGAUCAGAUACCGUCGUAGU